ACUUCUGCAGAGCCACACACUGCGCAGGCCAUUUGCUGCUCCCUCUCAACAGGCUCUUGGGCAGACGCCAAAGUCCAAACAGAUAUACUUUUCUUCUUAUAUCAAGUUAAUCAACACAGUGACACCAAAGUAUCUUGGACCAACAUUCUAAGGAUGAACCGGGGCCUAUGAAAAGAGGUCUGUGAAGUUGCACCUGCAGGACAUGUAACCCUCUCCAUGCUACAUUUUUUUAAGGACUGCAAUGGAAACCCAGGUGGAAAUGAGUAAAAUGGGAUCAAUGUCUUGAGCUCUAGGAAUAAAGCUGCAAAGGGAUAUUGACAGUCAUAGACCUUUAAACAAACUGUGACCGAUACUACUUUAAUUUGGAGGUAGUUUCCAACCAUCGCCAACAGGAUAAAUCUACAGAACUCAAGGGUGCAGAAACAAUGGGGGAAAAAAUGAAGAAUUUGGUUCAUCCCAGUGGGGAAUUCCCAAGAUGAAUGAUCACAUGCAAUGAAACUAUUAUCUUCGUCCAUUAAAAUAUUAUCUAAAACAGAGGUUUCUAUCUGGCAGCCAGAGGGCUGAAUAUAGCCUGCAGAUGAGUUUUGUUUGGACCACACAGUUUUUAAAAUAUUUGAAUAGGUUGCCAAGAUUUCAAAAUCAGGAGAUUUCACAUAAAAAUCUGGAUUUCUGGCUUAUCAUUACAAAGCAGCAGCAGUGGAUCUGGCAAACUGGGCCUACAUUCCCACCUGGCAACAAUUGGCUGGAAACAAGGAGCAGCUACCUCACUGUGGUCGAGACAUGAGCUUUCUGGCCCACCACAGUCCCCACUAGACUCACUGUACUUGUUUAAUUUUUGUUACCUCCACAUGGCCCUUUUAGGCAACUCCCACUCCUUAAAAUGUCAUACUACUCUAGAGUUUGUGGGGAAAAAAAAAAGAGGAUGUUCUCAGAACAGAGAUUUAAAAAUACAUAUUUCACAAGUUUACAGAAUAUAAGACA